UGUCUAUGAUGAUAAACCGUAAGGCUAGUUUCUCAUAAACAUUCGCAGUGGCCGCCUGAGAGCUUUCGCCUUCGCCAGGUUAGAGAGCUUAUGCUGCUUCAAACCCUCCUUGGUUGUCUGAGACU